rnacentral:rRNA from 1 species
AGGAAUCUGCCUAUUAGUGGGGGACAACAUUUCGAAAGGAAUGCUAAUACCGCAUACGUCCUACGGGAGAAAGCAGGGGAUCUUCGGACCUUGCGCUAAUAGAUGAGCCUAAGUCGGAUUAGCUAGUUGGUGGGGUAAAGGCCUACCAAGGCGACGAUCUGUAGCGGGUCUGAGAGGAUGAUCCGCCACACUGGGACUGAGACACGGCCCAGACUCCUACGGGAGGCAGCAGUGGGGAAUAUUGGACAAUGGGCGCAAGCCUGAUCCAGCCAUGCCGCGUGUGUGAAGAAGGCCUUAUGGUUGUAAAGCACUUUAAGCGAGGAGGGGGCUACUGAAGUUAAUACCUUCAGAUAGUGGACGUUACUCGCAGAAUAAGCACCGGCUAACUCUGUGCCAGCAGCCGCGGUAAUACAGAGGGUGCAAGCGUUAAUCGGAUUUACUGGGCGUAAAGCGCGCGUAGGCGGCUAAUUAAGUCAAAUGUGAAAUCCCCGAGCUUAACUUGGGAAUUGCAUUCGAUACUGGUUAGCUAGAGUGUGGGAGAGGAUGGUAGAAUUCCAGGU